UCGAGCGAGCUUGCCUAGAUGAUUUUAGUGCUUGCACUAAAUGAAACUAGAUACAAGCGAGCGGCGGACGGGUGAGUAACACGUGGGUAACCUGCCCAAGAGACUGGGAUAACACCUGGAAACAGAUGCUAAUACCGGAUAACAACACUAGACGCAUGUCUAGAGUUUGAAAGAUGGUUCUGCUAUCACUCUUGGAUGGACCUGCGGUGCAUUAGCUAGUUGGUAAGGUAACGGCUUACCAAGGCAAUGAUGCAUAGCCGAGUUGAGAGACUGAUCGGCCACAUUGGGACUGAGACACGGCCCAAACUCCUACGGGAGGCAGCAGUAGGGAAUCUUCCACAAUGGACGAAAGUCUGAUGGAGCAACGCCGCGUGAGUGAAGAAGGGUUUCGGCUCGUAAAGCUCUGUUGGUAGUGAAGAAAGAUAGAGGUAGUAACUGGCCUUUAUUUGACGGUAAUUACUUAGAAAGUCACGGCUAACUACGUGCCAGCAGCCGCGGUAAUACGUAGGUGGCAAGCGUUGUCCGGAUUUAUUGGGCGUAAAGCGAGUGCAGGCGGUUCAAUAAGUCUGAUGUGAAAGCCUUCGGCUCAACCGGAGAAUUGCAUCAGAAACUGUUGAACUUGAGUGCAGAAGAGGAGAGUGGAACUCCAUGUGUAGCGGUGGAAUGCGUAGAUAUAUGGAAGAACACCAGUGGCGAAGGCGG
rnacentral:rRNA from 1 species